UUAAAGCUCCGGCGGUUAGAGAUGGGCAUGCGUACCAUUAGCUAGUUGGUGAGGUAACGGCUCACCAAGGCUACGAUGGUUAGGGGGUCUGAGAGGAUGAUCCCCCACACUGGUACUGAGACACGGACCAGACUCCUACGGGAGGCAGCAGUGAGGAAUAUUGGUCAAUGGGCGAAAGCCUGAACCAGCCAUGCCGCGUGAAGGAUGAAGGCCCUCAGGGUUGUAAACUUCUUUUGUACGGGACGAAACCCUUGAACGUGUUCGAGGCUGACGGUACCGUACGAAUAA
rnacentral:rRNA from 1 species